rnacentral:lncRNA from 1 species
CGGAGCUCAGGAUCCUGGCAACUGGGCCGGCAGAAUAACAACUGGAGACAAGCUGAGAGGGGGAGCCAGGGGCCGGCAGGGCCCCUUCCUCCCGUGGCUGCCACAGCAAGGAAAUAAGGCAGCCGCGGCCCGGAUAACCCGCCCUCAACUCCCCCCACUCCCCCACGCUAGUUCACUAAUGGAACACCACCCCUCUCCCCUACUCCGAUCCUCUCCUGGCCAGAGGCGUUCACAACUGGGCAGUCUAGGCACGAGACCCCUUCAGGAAGGGGGUGGGGGUGGGAGAAAGGUCUCAGACCCUCCCCCAUCCUCAUCUGUCUUGCCUGACUCUCUCGAGCCAACCGCUCUUCCGAGCCACCCACCACCCCAGUGCACAUCUUCCUUCAGCCCCCGAAGCCCCAUCCUGGGGAUGAGAUAGGGGACUUGGGAGUGGAAGGACAACAGGAAAGGUCCAUAGCUCAGGGAUGUGAAAGACGCUCUAGUCGAUGCUUUCCAUUUUUACAGACGAGGCAAACGAGGGCCAGGGAGGAGAUGUCUAGUUCUAGGGCACACAGGUGUGGGAAGUUCCUGGUGUAGGAAAUGCCUCUUGUGAUCAGCAGCACAUCAAGCUGAAGCAGUAUGGUAGCCUGAGGACGAUAUGGGAAGCAACAUGUGCCAGGAAAAUCAGGUCAGCUCUACUACCACUUUGACUACCACCUCCCCUCAGAUCUUGAUGGAGAAGGACUAGGGUCUCUAAGCCCGAGAGUUUUGGAGAGAGCAGUACAUUCCAAUUCUGCUUCCAGCCCAACUUCCACAGGCAUCAUUGAGGGGUCAUGCUUGGGGAUUGCUUGAAGAUCAUUGAGGCGAAAAGAUUUCACAUCUAGCAAGUGUCAGCGGCAAUAUUAGGACCCAUGUUUUUUUUUUUUUUUUUUUUGACACCAUACCCAAUACUUCAUUGAGGAUUCCAAAAUAAUAAUCU